rnacentral:rRNA from 1 species
GACGAACGCUGGCGGCGUGCUUAACACAUGCAAGUCGAACGGAAAGGCCCUGCUUUUGUGGGGUGCUCGAGUGGCGAACGGGUGAGUAACACGUGAGUAACCUGCCCUUGACUUUGGAUAACUUCAGGAAACUGGGGCUAAUACCGGAUAGGAGCUCCUGCUGCAUGGUGGGGGUUGGAAAGUUUCGGCGGUUGGGGAUGGACUCGCGGCUUAUCAGCUUGUUGGUGGGGUAGUGGCUUACCAAGGCUUUGACGGGUAGCCGGCCUGAGAAGGUGACCGGCCACAUUGGGACUGAGAUACGGCCCAGACUCCUACGGGAGGCAGCAGUGGGGAAUAUUGCACAAUGGGCGGAAGCCUGAUGCAGCAACGCCGCGUGCGGGAUGACGGCCUUCGGGUUGUAAACCGCUUUCGCCUGUGACGAAGCGUGAGUGACGGUAAUGGGUAAAGAAGCACCGGCUAACUACGUG